AACAUCAGAGAUAUCAUUUGUUGUAUAACAACUGAUAUCUCUGUUGUACU
rnacentral:pre_miRNA from 1 species